rnacentral:rRNA from 1 species
GUGGGGAAUUUUGGACAAUGGGCGCAAGCCUGAUCCAGCCAUGCCGCGUGCAGGAUGAAGGCCUUCGGGUUGUAAACUGCUUUUGUACGGAACGAAAAAGCUCUCUCUAAUACAGGGGGUGAAUGACGGUACCGUAAGAAUAAGCACCGGCUAACUACGUGCCAGCAGCCGCGGUAAUACGUAGGGUGCAAGCGUUAAUCGGAAUUACUGGGCGUAAAGCGUGCGCAGGCGGUUAUGUAAGACAGAGGUGAAAUCCCCGGGCUCAACCUGGGAACUGCCUUUGAGACUGCAUAGCUGGAGUGCGGCAGAGGGGGAUGGAAUUCCGCGUGUAGCAGUGAAAUGCGUAGAUAUGCGGAGGAACACCGAUGGCGAAGGCAAUCCCCUGGGCCUGCACUGACGCUCAUGCACGAAAGCGUGGGGAGCAAACAGGAUUAGAUACCCCAGUAGUCC